CCUGUCCCUAAAGGCACUGCAAAUGUGGCUACUGUGUCACAUAUGUGCCAAUAGGUAGCAGAGAGGAGAGAGUCUGUGUCUACAUUUAGUAUUCUGGCCUACGACUAUCUGAAUUGUUAGUAGCCUAGAAUU